rnacentral:piRNA from 1 species
UGGAGCCUCAGAUAACAGAGCCAUGGGU